UAAAAUACAAAUUUUAAAUUAUUCAGUGUUACAUUUUUUACCUAUGAAUGUACAUUAUAAAAUGACAAUAAUUUUUAAUCUACGUAGUUUAAUAAUUAUUUUAAUUAAUUUUAAUUUUUACCAUAUAGUAAUGAGUCCUAACACUUCUGGCAUUUCAAAAGAGGAAAGACAGAUACUAAUCGAAAAUUGUAAAGAAACAUUAAAAGACAGCUUUGAUUUUACCGGGACUUAUUAUAAUGACAUGAGUAUUGAUGUUGAAGACAAAGUCCAAACAGUUGCUGAAAAUUUUAAAGAAUUUGAAAAAACAUCAAUACAAAUCAAUACAAGUAUUUUGAUUUCGGCGUUUGAUAAUAAACAUCCAGAUCUUUAUAAAAAUUAAUUUUAAAACUUAGCAGACGAGUAUAUACAAUUUAUUACAAAUAACAAAGAUAUUGAUGAUCCUAUAAGAGAAUACUGCAAAAUUUAAGAUGAUUAGUAGUAAUAUGUCUU
rnacentral:misc_RNA from 1 species